rnacentral:rRNA from 1 species
GAACGUCCCAGUUCGGAUUACAGCCUGCAACCCGGCUGUAUGAAGCUGGAAUCGCUAGUAAUCGCAAAUCAGAAUGUUGCGGUGAAUACGUUCCCGGGUCUUGUACACACCGCCCGUCACACCAUGGGAGCCAGGAAUGCCCGAAGCCAGUGGCCUAACCGCAAGGGAGGAGCUGUCGAAGGCAGGCCCGGUAACUGGGGUGAAGUCGUAACAAGGUAUC